GACGAACGCUGGCGGCGUGCCUAAUACAUGCAAGUUGAGCGCUGAAGGUUGGUACUUGUACCAACUUGAUGAGCAGCGAACGGGUGAGUAACGCGUGGGGAAUCUGCCUUUGAGCGGGGGACAACAUUUGGAAACGAAUGCUAAUACCGCAUAAAAACUUUAAACACAAGUUGUAAGUUUGAAAGAUGCAAUUGCAUCACUCAAAGAUGAUCCCGCGUUGUAUUAGCUAGUUGGUGAGGUAAAGGCUCACCAAGGCGAUGAUACAUAGCCGACCUGAGAGGGUGAUCGGCCACAUUGGGACUGAGACACGGCCCAAACUCCUACGGGAGGCAGCAGUAGGGAAUCUUCGGCAAUGGACGAAAGUCUGACCGAGCAACGCCGCGUGAGUGAAGAAGGUUUUCGGAUCGUAAAACUCUGUUGGUAGAGAAGAACGUUGGUGAGAGUGGAAAGCUCAUCAAGUGACGGUAACUACCCAGAAAGGGACGGCUAACUACGUG
rnacentral:rRNA from 1 species